rnacentral:lncRNA from 1 species
UAGCGCUCUGUCAGUUUACUCCUGAGGAAUUAAUCGUAAUUUACCAUGUUUAAAAAAACUAAAUGACUGCAGUCUUAAUAUAGCGCUGUCGUCGUAGCAGUUCUGACGAACACAUCUACAGUCAGUCAGUGGCACUUUACGGGGUUUUACUCUAAGCGGUGGCAUGAUGACACAAAAAAAGAACUAAACAGCACCACGUAAGCGAGAAAGAGGACGAAGAGACUGGAUGUGUAAGAAAGAGACAGUACGUGUGUCGUGUGACCAUUUUGGAAAGUUCUCGUUCUUUUCCGCUCUCUAGACUACUAGAGACAAACUGGACUGUCAGGGAAGGAAUUUUCCCUUCUGUGUUUUCUUGUAGCGUGAACAUCUUACCAUUGUUGUUUUAUUUCAUUUAUGGAAUACAUUUAAAAAAAAAAACUGUUUAACAGAAGACUAUAGUAAUUCAUCUUGAUAUGCCGAUUAGUGAGAGCGAUUAUCGUCAAUGUGCGAGAUGAGGCAGCAGGGGGCGCUGCAGCAGUUCGUUUUCGCGGUGCCCCUGGAGCGGCCCUGGGGAGCGGGGGCACAGGAGGGGGAGGUGACUCCUUUAUUUUAAUCAAAUAGAAGUUCAGGAAGAAAAAGUUAUACGUCUUUUAAAGCAAACUGAGCGCAAGGGUUAUUUUUUGGUUCCGCUGAGUCACCGGUGCUUGUGCGUUCUACAUGGUGGAUAGUUGACAAGCCAGCAAAAUAAAGGAUAACUUUUUUUAUGGAAAUGGUUCUGCCAGAUGACUCCCCUCCCCCCACCGCCAAGUGCAUUUUCCACACAGAUCCCAGCGUCCCCCCUGCUAACCGACUCAGCGAUGCCUGCACCCGCCUCACUUGCCAUCGCCAAAAUAUUCUGGCCCAAAACAGAGACACAGAGGAAACCAGCCAAGAAGGACUUCAAACUGGAGAAAGGGGCUGCACCGCCACGUCGUUUUUAAAGUCGCAAUGGUCCCCGAGAGCUGAGGCGACAUUUCAGGUCUGCGAUCAGAGCUCGUCUCUCUGGGAGACUGUCUGCUUCGGGGAAGCGUGCACAGCAGAUCUUCUCUUACCACAGUCAAUUUCCCAAGAGGAGUGGGCAGCCACUACAACUUGAAACCCCCCUCUUCCUUGUAGUUUGAAGAGUUUUUUGUUUCUUC